rnacentral:rRNA from 1 species
GACGAACGCUGGCGGCGUGCUUAACACAUGCAAGUCGAACGGAAAGGCCCUGCUUUUGUGGGGUUCUCGAGUGGCGAACGGGUGAGUAACACGUGAGUAACCUGCCCUUGACUUUGGGAUAACUUCAGGAAACUGGGGCUAAUACAGGAUAGGAGCUCCUGCUGCAUGGUGGGGGUUGGAAAGUUUCGGCGGUUGGGGAUGGACUCGCGGCUUAUCAGCUUGUUGGUGGGGUAGUGGCUUACCAAGGCUUUGACGGGUAGCCGGCCUGAGAGGAUGAACGGCCACAUUGGGACUGAGAUACGGACCAGACUCCUACGGGAGGCAGCAGUGGGAAAUAUUGCACAAUGGGCGGACGCCUGAUGCAGCAACGCCGCGUGCGGGAUGACGGCCUUCGGGUUGUAAACCGCUUUCGCCUGUGACGAAGCGUGAGUGACGGUAAUGGGUAAAGAAGCACCGGCUAACUACGUG